rnacentral:tRNA from 1 species
AGNCCACUCAGCCAUCUCUCC